CUUUUGUUUAACACCAGAAAAACGAGAUCUUAUCUUUUCUGGAAUUCUGUAAAGAAAUUUCUGGAAAGUGCGGUCAAUUUGACCGCAUUCUCGUUUUAGAGAUAAAAAUUAUU